UGGCGGCGUGCUUAACACAUGCAAGUCGAACGAUGAAGCUGCCUGCUUGCAGGUGGUGGAUUAGUGGCGAACGGGUGAGUAUCACGUGAGUAACCUGCCCUUGACUCUGGGAUAAGCCCGGGAAACUGGGUCUAAUACCGGAUAUGACCUCUCAUCGCAUGGUGGGGGGUGGAAAGAUUUUAUCGGUCUUGGAUGGGCUCGCGGCCUAUCAGCUUGACGGUGGGGUAGUGGCCUACCGUGGCUUUGACGGGUAGCCGGCCUGAGAGGGUGACCGGCCACACUGGGACUGAGACACGGCCCAGACUCCUACGGGAGGCAGCAGUGGGGAAUAUUGCACAAUGGGCGCAAGCCUGAUGCAGCGACGCCGCGUGCGGGAUAACGGCCUUCGGGUUGUAAACCGCUUUCAGCAGGGAAGAAGGGCCUCUUUUGAGGUUUGACGGUACUUGCAGAAGAAGCGCCGGCUAACUACGUGCCAGCAGCCGCGGUAAUACGUAGGGCGCGAGCGUUAUCCGGAAUUAUUGGGCGUAAAGAGCUUGUAGGCGGUUUGCCGCGUCUGCUGUGAAAGCCCGGGGCUUAACUCCGGGUGUGCAGUGGGUACGGGCAGGCUAGAGUGCAGUAGGGGAGACUGGAAUUCCUGGUGUAGCGGUGAAAUGCGCAGAUAUCAGGAGGAACACCGAUGGCGAAGGCAGGUCUCUGGGCUGUUACUGACGCUGAGAAGCGAAAGCAUGGGUAGCGAACAGGAUUAGAUACCCUGGUAGUCCAUGCCGUAAACGUUGGGCACUAGGUGUGGGGGACAUUCCACGUUUUCCGCGCCGUAACUAACGCAUUAAGUGCCCCGCCUGGGGAGUACGGCCCCAAGGCUAAAACUCAAAGGAAUUGACGG
rnacentral:rRNA from 1 species